rnacentral:rRNA from 1 species
GAUCCUGGCUCAGAAUCAACGCUGGCGGCGUGCCUAACACAUGCAAGUCGCGCGCGAAAGGGGGGCAACCCCCCAAGUAGAGCGGCGAACGGGUGAGUAACGCGUGGGUGAUCUUCCUUCGAGUGGGGAAUAACACCGGGAAACUGGUGCUAAUACCGCAUGACAUCCUUGGUUCACUCCAGGGAUCAAAGCCGGGGACCGCAAGGCCUGGCGCUUGAAGAUGAGCCCGCGUCCGAUUAGCUAGUUGGCGGGGUAACGGCCCACCAAGGCUUCGAUCGGUAGCCGGCCUGAGAGGGCGGACGGCCACACUGGGACUGAGACACGGCCCAGACUCCUACGGGAGGCAGCAGUGGGGAAUUUUUCGCAAUGGGGGAAACCCUGACGAAGCAACGCCGCGUGGAGGAUGAAGGCCUUCGGGUCGUAAACUCCUGUCGACCGGGAAGAAUGCACCUGACCUAAUACGUCGGCGUGUUGACUGUACCGGUGGAGGAAGCCACGGCUAACUCUGUGCCAGCAGCCGCGGUAAUACAGAGGUGGCAAGCGUUGUUCGGAAUUACUGGGCGUAAAGGGCGCGUAGGCGGCCCGUCAAGUCCCGUGUGAAAGCCCCCGGCUCAACCGGGGAACGGCGCGGGAAACUAGCAGGCUUGAGUUCGGGAGAGGGAAGCGGAAUUUCGGGUGUAGCGGUGAAAUGCGCAGAUAUCCGAAGGAACACCGGUGGCGAAGGCGGCUUCCUGGACCGACACUGACGCUGAGGCGCGAAAGCUAGGGGAGCAAACGG